GAAGAACGCUGGGGGCGUGCUUAACACAUGCAAGUCAAACAGAGAGGCCCCUCUUUUUGGGGGGCUGCUCGAGUGGAAAAGGGGAGAAUAACACGUGAAUCCCCCGCCCUUGAUUGUGAUAUAACUUCAAGAAAGGGGCUAUAAUAGCAGAUAGGAUCUCCUGCUGCGUGGGGGGUGUAAAAAAAUCUUCGGCGGGUGAGGAUGCACUCGCUAUUUAUCAGGUUGUUGGGGGGGUAGUGACUUACGAAGGCUUUGACGGCUAGCCUGACUAAGAGGCUGACCGCCCACAUUGGGACAGACAUCCGGCACACACUCCUACGGGAGGCAGGAGUGAUUAAUAUUGCAGGGUGGACGCAAGUCUGAUGCACCCGCGCCGCGUGAGGAGAUGACUCCCUUCGGAAUCUACACCUCUUUCGCCUGAGACGAAGCGUGAGUGACGGUAAUGGAAAAAAAAGCACCGUCUAACUACGUGCCAGCAGCCGAGGUGAUACGUAGGGUGCGAGCGUUGUCCUGAUUUAUUGGGCGUAAAGGGCUCGUAGGUGGUUGAUCGCGUCGGAAGUGUAAUCUUGGGGCUUAACCCUGAGCGUGCUUUCGAUACGGGUUGACUUGAGGAAGGUAGGGGAGAAUGGAAUUCCUGGUGGAGCGGUGGAAUGCGCAGAUAUCAGGAGGAACACCAGUGGCGAAGGCGGUUCUCUGGGCCUUUCCUGACGCUGAGGAGCGAAAGCGUGGGGAGCGAACAGGCUUAGAUACCCUGGUAGUCCACGCUGUAAACGGUGGGUACUAGGUGUGGGGUCCAUUCCACGGGUUCCGUGCCGUAGCUAACGCUUUAAGUACCCCGCCUGGGGAGUACGGCCGCAAGGCUAAAACUCAAAGGAAUUGACGGGGCCCCGCACAAGCGGCGGAGCAUGCGGAUUAAUUCGAUGCAACGCGCAGAACCUUACCUGGGUUUGACAUGGAUCGGGAGUGCUCAGAGAUGGGUGUGCCUCUUUUGGGGUCGGUUCACAGGUGGUGCAUGCCUGUCGUCAGCUCGUGUCGUGAGAUGUUGGGUUAAGUCCCGCAACGAGCGCAACCCUUGUUCACUGUUGCCAGCACGUUAUGGUGGGGACUCAGUGGAGACCGCCGGGGUCAACUCGGAGGAAGGUGGGGAUGACGUCAAGUCAUCAUGCCCCUUAUGUCCAGGGCUUCACGCAUGCUACAAUGGCUGGUACAGAGAGUGGCGAGCCUGUGAGGGUGAGCGAAUCUCGGAAAGCCGGUCUCAGUUCGGAUUGGGGUCUGCAACUCGACCUCAUGAAGUCGGAGUCGCUAGUAAUCGCAGAUCAGCAACGCUGCGGUGAAUACGUUCCCGGGGCU
rnacentral:rRNA from 1 species